GACGAACGCUGGCGGCGUGCUUAACACAUGCAAGUCGAACGGAAAGGCCCUGCUUUUGUGGGGUGCUCGAGUGGCGAACGGGUGAGUAACACGUGAGUAACCUGCCCUUGACUUUGGGAUAACUUCAGGAAACUGGGGCUAAUACCGGAUAGGAGCUCCUACUGCAUGGUGGGGGUUGGAAAGUUUCGGCGGUUGGGGAUGGACUCGCGGCUUAUCAGCUUGUUGGUGGGGUAGUGGCUUACCAAGGCUUUGACGGGUAGCCGGCCUGAGAGGGUGACCGGCCACAUUGGGACUGAGAUACGGCCCAGACUCCUACGGGAGGCAGCAGUGGGGAAUAUUGCACAAUGGGCGGAAGCCUGAUGCAGCAACGCCGCGUGCGGGAUGACGGCCUUCGGGUUGUAAACCGCUUUCGCCUGUGACGAAGUGUGAGUGACGGUAAUGGGUAAAGAAGCACCGGCUAACUACGUG
rnacentral:rRNA from 1 species